rnacentral:lncRNA from 1 species
GGGAAAAAAACUAAUCUCUCAUCCUUUUACUUCUCUCUCAGACUCUCUUACUACUAACACACAAAUAUUCAUUUUUUCUUAACAAAACUGAUCAAAACUUACUUUUGUCCAAGAACACCAUGAACAUACCUCGAAAACAUUUAAAUGUUCUUGAGGUCAAAACCCAUAAUCCCUAAGUUCAAACCAAAUAACGAAAUAACAAACCAUACCCCCCCUCAAAUCUGCUACCCUAAACACAAAUCCAAAUAUAAAAUCAACAAAAACGUAAAUAAUCACACAGAUUAAAGACCCUCAGUCCCACAAAACCCUAACCUCAAAUUCAUUAUGUUCAGUCCGAUUUAUAUAUUUACAAGCAUGAAAGGAUCUAAAAGAAACAAUUAAUAACAAAGGAGUGAGGAAAAACAAAUGAAAAGCUACCAAAGGUGUCUUCGGCGGGUCCCUGAACUCCAGCACGACGGUGCGAUUUCCAGCGAGCAAGAAAAAGGUACCUCAUUUUUCCUUUUUUUUUAUCAUUUUACUCUCUCUCUCUCUCUCUCUCUCUCUCUCUCUCUCUCUCUCUCUCUUCUUCUUCUUCUUCUUCUUCUUCUUCUUCUUCUUCUUCUUCUUCUUUACUCUUCUUAUAAUCAACCUUUCCUUGUUUGCUUGUGGUGACAUUGUGAGUGUGGAAAAUAUGGGUUUUAGCUCACCAUUUAGAGAUUUAAUGUGAAGCUCUAAGUAAUUUUAGGAAUAGAGCUCUAAGUGGGAUUAGGGAAGGUGAUUAGAAGAGAAUGAAGAUUGUUUAAGAUGCUUAGAAUUAGGUUUUUUUUUCCUGUCCAGAGUAAUAAUGAAUGGAGUGAUUUAUAGAAAUUGUGUAUGUGAGAAACAAAAUGGGAUAUGUGUGAAGGGAAAGAAUCAAAGAAGAUAUUUUGUGAGGGAUUGAUACAACUCGUGUGGGAAAAGUAUGAACUCAUUUGAUCAGGAUUGAGCUGUUAGAGGGGACCAAACAAUCUCUUAUUUAGUGGGAUUUUUUAGUGAGUGGAAUUGAAGGAAUUGAGUGAGGUGCAGUUACAUCAUGUGCAAGAACUUUUCCUUUUUCUUUCUUUGUUUAACUGGUGAUGUUUGUGGUAAAUUAACUCAUGAUUCUUCUUUUUUCGCUGCUAUAAAUUAUUGUAGCCAUUGAGACUUAUUGUUCAAGUUAUUUUGCUUUGCUCUCUUUUCUUUUAUUCAAUUAGGGUUAUGCACAUGUGACAUCAAAGAGGGCCUAAUUCUAAUGGAUCAUUUUUCCUUUUGAUGACGUUUUUAAAUAGGACUUGCUCAUAUGCGUGAUUAGCUUGAGAGCUUUAGGACAUGAUGGAGAAGAUUUUGUUUUUUUUUAAGAUUUGGCCUAUUGAACUACCAAGUGUGUAAUUUUACAUAUUUGGAUAUCAAGUAGACAAGUCCUUUUUAUUACCUUUGUACUUCAUUCAUUUUUUUGUAAGCCUUUUUUUAGUACUUGUUAUCUUGAAUCUGUCACGGCUUGUGCCAUUGUGUCUUUGCACCAAUAUUUGUAAUUUGAAAAUGUCAUUGGCAUGGCCUUUGUAUCUUUGUGCCAACAAUGUACUUUGUUUUUAAAAUUGAUUCAUAUUUGGAAUGGAAUUCAAAUUCCUUUGUAAAUUCAAUGCAACAUAUAAUUGAAACUAC